UAUAAUUAAUAUGUUAACUGAGGAACAACUUCAAGCUGGUAAUACAGAAUCAAUAUUUAGACCUUGGAACACCACCAUUUUUGUUAUCAAGAAAAAGUCAGAUAAUUGGAGGUUACUACAGGAUUUAAGGGCAAUAAACCAUGCAAUUCAGCCUAGGGGCUCAUUGCAGCCUGGACUUCCUUUACCCACAGCAAUUCCUUUAAAUUAUAGCUUAAUGGUAAUAGAUCUAAAACACUGAUUUUUCUCCAUGAGGUUGCAUCCUAAGGAUUGUGAAAAAUUUGCUUUCAG
rnacentral:sRNA from 1 species